GACGAACGCUGGCGGCGUGCUUAACACAUGCCAGUCGAACGGAAAGGCCCUGCUUUUGUGGGGUGCUCGAGUGGCGAACGGGUGAGUAACACGUGAGUAACCUGCCCUUGACUUUGGGAUAACUUCAGGAAACUGGGGCUAAUACCGGAUAGGAGCUCCUGCUGCAUGGUGGGGGUUGGAAAGUUUCGGCGGUUGGGGAUGGACUUGCGGCUUAUCAGCUUGUUGGUGGGGUAGUGGCUUACCAAGGCUUUGACGGGUAGCCGGCCUGAGAGGGUGACCGGCCACAUUGGGACUGAGAUACGGCCCAGACUCCUACGGGGGGCAGCAGUGGGGAAUAUUGCACAAUGGGCGGAAGCCUGAUGCAGCAACGCCGCGUGCGGGAUGACGGCCUUCGGGUUGUAAACCGCUUUCGCCUGUGACGAAGCGUGAGUGACGGUAAUGGGUAAAGAAGCACCGGCUAACUACGUG
rnacentral:rRNA from 1 species